UCUACCUCUUCUUUCUCAUGCCGGUUUUUAUCUACUGUUGCUCGUCCGCCGAAAUGGGCUCAUUUGCCGCUCUCGAGUUUUUUCGUUCGAGUUUUGUUCCAAUAUAUAGUCUAUUUACUAUCUCCGGAGAUCAGAAGUAAACAUUCUUGUAUGGGUUGAUCGGAAGCUUUGCAAGGCAGGCUUAUUAGACAGGCUGGAGAAGUACUCCCCGCAUUCACCUUAUUCGCGCCGUACACGUGCGGUUCGGUGCCAAUAGCAUAUCCGUUUGCUGUAGCACGUGACCCUUUUGGCGCUGCCUCCCGAGUUUUAUUCGUUGGCUUUCACGACAAUAAAUAAAAGAAUCGAAUAUUUCCGU